rnacentral:rRNA from 1 species
UACGUAGGGGGCAAGCGUUGUCCGGAAUUAUUGGGCGUAAAGCGCGCGCAGGCGGUUCAUUAAGUCUGGUGUUUAAGGCUGGGGCUCAACCCUGGUUCGCACUGGAAACUGGUGGACCUGAGUGCAGAAGAGGAAAGUGGAAUUCCACGUGUAGCGGUGAAAUGCGUAGAGAUGUGGAGGAACACCAGUGGCGAAGGCGACUUUCUGGGCUGUAACUGACGCUGAGGCGCGAAAGCGUGGGGAGCAAACAGG